CGGAGGGUGCGAGCGUUAUCCGGAAUUACUGGGUUUAAAGGGUGCGUAGGCGGCCAGGUAAGUCAGGAGUGAAAGUUUGCGGCUCAACCGUAAAUUGCUUUUGAUACUGCCAGGCUAGAAUUAGGAUGAGGUCAGCGGAAUGUGGCAUGUAGCGGUGAAAUGCAUAGAUAUGCCAUAGAACACCAAUUGCGAAGGCAGCUGGCUAGACCUGGAUUGACGCUGAGGCACGAAAGCGUGGGAGCGAACAGGAUU
rnacentral:rRNA from 1 species